rnacentral:rRNA from 1 species
GCUUGUCUCAAAGAUUAAGCCAUGCAUGUCUAAGUAUAAGCUUUUAUACGGUGAAACUGCGAAUGGCUCAUUAAAACAGUUAUAGUUUAUUUGAUGGUCGCUCACUACAUGGAUAACCGUGGUAAUUCUAGAGCUAAUACAUGCUGUAAAGCCCGACUCUUCGGAAGGGCCGUAUUUAUUAGAUAACAGACCAAUAUUCCUCGUGUCUAUUGUGGUGAAUCAUAGUAACUAAUCGGAUCGCAUGGGCUAGUCCCGCGACAAACCAUUCAAGUUUCUGCCCCAUCAGCUUUCGAUGGUAGUGUAUUGGACUACCAUGGCUUUUACGGGUAACGGAGGAUUAGGGUUCGAUUCCGGAGAGGGAGCCUGAGAAACGGCUACCACAUCUAAGGAAGGCAGCAG